GAUUUUACAUAAAAUAAAAUUUACGAGGGCAUAUAUUUUAGAAAGUAUUCAUUCUUGCAAAUACGAAAAUAAACAUAAGUAAUGACGUCACAAUGUGUAAAGAAAAGUGAUUGUGACGUCACAAUGUGAUGACGUUGAUUCGGCCGUAACGUUGUGGCAACACAUCUGUUUGCAUCAAGAUAUAUUCUCAAAUUGUAAUGAAGCGAUCAAGUGAACAAUCGGAGCAUCUUUACGCAACAAAGAAGGCAAGAGUACUUGUUGGCUAUGGAAGAUCGAUUGAGUCGAUGGACAUUGACCAAGACAAAUUUUGGAAUACGAAAAAACUGACCAGACCACCACCUCUGACAGCGGUAAGA